UGGUAUGGAUAAAGAGAUAAGGAUUAAAGAACUGUACAAAAAGAAAGAAUUUACAGCAGAUGGGAGUAAGCUUUGGGCGAUUCCACAUAUCAGAAUUGCAUUGAGAAUUACUAGAAGUGCACUGAAUUCUAUUUUGUUGAGAAUUACUUUAGAAAUUGAUUGCAAAGUGUCGUAAUUCGUUCAUGAUUUAGAAAGUAGUAGGCGUCUGCUACAAUUCUGGUUGUUGAGCAUCUCAAUGUGUAAGUACAAGGAAUAGGUGAUUGUUGUCUGUUUACCCUCAUUUCUUACCUUCGAACUCAGCAGCACGUUGAAGGAUGGGAGAAGAUGGUUAAAUUUCUGAUUUUGGUCCAUUUCGGCGCUACUUUUUUUGAGGAACCAAGAAAAAUGUCUAAAGUUGUUUAUUCUGGUAACACAACCUUAAAUUCUUGGAGUGUUCUAAGAUUAUUCUUCAAUGUUUUCUCUUUGUCUUUUGUCUUCUCCCUUCUGAUUACCAUGUUGUUUUUAUAUAAGGUAAGCUUUCCAAUAUUUGAUGUUUUUUCUAUUGUAAGGUUGUUGCUUAUGCCAUUUUGGUGGUGCUAAAGUAAUAUUUGCACUUCGUACUAAAAUUAUCAUCAUUUUACUAGAUUUUUGUGUAUAUGCUUGUGUUUUCCAGUUCAAGUUAAUGCAGCUAUGUGCUUAUACAUUAAUGCAGCUAUGUGCUUAUACAACUCUCUCUGCCCCUUUGAUCUUUCCUUUUCAGGAUUAUGAUCCAGAAAUCCUGGGACUGCCCCUUUUAGUGAGCCUGGGAUGCAAAUUAUGCAGAAAUAUGUGUAUCAUUUAAAACACAUAUAAAUAUUCACAGGUUUCACGAAUUUGUUUGCAAGUAUUUUGGUUCGAAGUUGUGACCUUUGAUAAAGGCCACAAAUGGACCUUUUUGCUGAAGCAAUGGGAAUUUUAUUCUUGGAUGGGACGAACAAGUAUAUUUUAGUCAUUUACAAAAAACUUCUUCAUGUACCCCAACUCACUCUACAAUAAAGCACGUGUCGCUGUUUUAAAGAGUAGUGCAAGAGAUGACUGCUUCGCUCACUGAUUAUUGUAUUCAGUUUGUAGAAUCCAAAAUCAAGAUCCUCCCACCCAUUGAAGUUGACAUCUCUUCCUUCAUUUUCUCCUCUUUAUUUGGUAUGUAAGUUAUAAUUUUCUUACAUGCUUCAUUGGCAGCAUAAAAUCUCUCCCUGAACUUUUUCUUUAAGAAUUUUCUCCACAGGCAGCAAGUCUUGGAGGUUCUAAUAUUGAUCCCAUUGCUUGGGAAGAUAAAGAGUGCAAAGAAGAAUCAAGGUUCGUUGCUUUGGUGAGAAGCCACAUUAUACAACUCUCUAAGCCUUUCGAGGAGGAUGCUCUCAGACCAGGCAUCACUAUAAUGGUCCCAAGUUUGAUCUUGUGCUCUCCAUAUCUAAGACUUUGGACUUGCUAGAUCUCUGAGAAAAGCUGGUAUCUAAGCGUGCUAUAGUCCUGGAUUAAUGAUCGAUCAAAGAAUCAAAAUCAUCAAACAAGCUAUGCAUGAAAGACUGCGAGAUAACAUUGUCAAUGGAGUGGAUCCAUAAAAUUUGUAUGAUCCAAUAGUACAGAAAUAAGAGAGUGGAUGUCCAGAUGAGGUAUGUAAGGUCGACUCCAAUUGUUAAGAACCAGAUUUUGUCCAAUUGUGGCACAGUUCUUGUAUUAGGACCACCAACAUGAGCAUGAACAACUGUUUUUGUCUCUCAUUAGCAAGCUCUAGAAUGUAAAUGAAUGUAGUAGUGUGAAGCAUGCUAUGUAAUAUUUAUUCAGCUUGAUGA